GGCAUGUCCUAGUGGUCUGAGUGUUGGACUUUGACUCUGGAGACCAGGGAUCGAUUUCCUGCUAGCCA